rnacentral:rRNA from 1 species
GCACAAUGGGCGGAAGCCUGAUGCAGCAACGCCGCGUGAGGGAUGACGGCCUUCGGGUUGUAAACCUCUUUUAGCAAGGAAGAAGCGUGAGUGACGGUACUUGCAGAAAAAGCGCCGGCUAACUACGUGCCAGCAGCCGCGGUAAUACGUAGGGCGCAAGCGUUAUCCGGAAUUAUUGGGCGUAAAGAGCUCGUAGGCGGUUUGUCGCGUCUGCUGUGAAAUCCCGAGGCUCAACCUCGGGCCUGCAGUGGGUACGGGCAGACUAGAGUGCGGUAGGGGAGAUUGGAAUUCCUGGUGUAGCGGUGGAAUGCGCAGAUAUCAGGAGGAACACCGAUGGCGAAGGCAGAUCUCUGGGCCGUAACUGACGCUGAGGAGCGAAAGGGUGGGGAGCAAACAGGCUUAGAUACCCUGGUAGUCCACCCCGUAAACGUUGGGAACUAGUUGUGGGGUCCUUUCCACGGAUUCCGUGACGCAGCUAACGCAUUAAGUUCCCCGCCUGGGGAGUACGGCCGCAAGGCUAAAACUCAAA